rnacentral:rRNA from 1 species
UACGUAGGGCGCAAGCGUUGUCCGGAAUUAUUGGGCGUAAAGGGCUCGUAGGCGGUCCGUCGCGUCGGGAGUGAAAACUCGGAGCUUAACUCCGAGCCUGCUUCCGAUACGGGCAGACUAGAGGUAGGCAGGGGAGAGCGGAACUCCUGGUGUAGCGAUGGAAUGCGCAGAUAUCAGGAGGAACACCGAUGGCGAAGGCAGGUCUCUGGGCCACUACUGACGCUGAGAAGCGAAAGCGUGGGGGAGCGAACAGG